GAUGAACGCUGGCGGCGUGCUUAACACAUGCAAGUCGAACGAUGAAGCCCAGAGCGCUGGGUGGUUUAGUGGCGAACGGGCGGGUGAGACGGGAGUAAACUGCCCUCAACUCUGGGAUAGGGCAGGGCGACGGGGUCUAAUACCGGAUAGGAGCGACCACCGCCGGGUGGGUGUUGGAGAGAUUUAUCGGUUUUGGAUGGACUCGCGGCCUAUCCGCUUGUGGGUGAGGUAGUGGCUCACCAAGGCCACGACGGGUAGCCGGCCCGAGACGGUGAACGGCCUCACUGGUACUGAGACACGGAGCAGUCGGCUACGGGAGGCAGCAGUCGGAAAUAUUGCACAGUGAGCGCAAGCCUGAUGCAGCGGCGCCGCGUGCGGGAUGACGGCCUUCGGGUUGAGAACCUCUUUCAGUAGGGAAGAAGCGAUAGUGACGGUACCUACAGAAGAAGCACCGGCUAACUACGUG
rnacentral:rRNA from 1 species